rnacentral:rRNA from 1 species
UACGUAGGGUGCAAGCGUUAAUCGGAAUUACUGGGCGUAAAGCGUGCGCAGGCGGUGAUGUAAGACAGGUGUGAAGUCCCCGGGCUUAACCUGGGAACUGCAUUUGUGACUGCAUCGCUGGAGUGCGGCAGAGGGGGAUGGAAUUCCGCGUGUAGCAGUGAAAUGCGUAGAUAUGCGGACGAACACCGAUGGCGAAGGCAAUCCCCUGGGCCUGCACUGACGCUCAUGCACGAAAGCGUGGGGAGCAAACAGG